rnacentral:sRNA from 1 species
AUCAAUGGAUACAGAAGAUUAAAAACUGUAACUGGGAUUAAAAUGGGAACAUUUGUUAAAAAGAAUAAAUUGAAUAAUAGUUCCAAGUGGUUUAGAAAAGAGUGACAGCCCUGGUCUUUAGACUAG